GACGGGGGAUGCGAGCGUUGUUCGGAAUCACUGGGCUUAAAGCGCGUGUAGGCGGCUAGGUAAGUAUCGUGUGAAAUCCCACGUCUCAAACGUGGAACGGCUCGGUAUACUGCCUGGCUCGAGGCUGGUAGAGGUGCCUGGAACUCUAGGUGGAGCGGUGAAAUGCGUAGAUAUCUAGAGGAACGCCCGUGGCGAAAGCGGGGCACUGGGCCUGACCUGACGCUGAGACGCGAAAGCGUGGGGAGCAAACGGG
rnacentral:rRNA from 1 species